UACAGAGGUCUCAAGCGUUGUUCGGAUUCAUUGGGCGUAAAGGGUGCGUAGGUGGCGGGGUAAGUCUGGUGUGAAAUCUCGGGGCCCAACUCCGAAACUGCACUGGAUACUGCCUUGCUCGAGUACUGGAGAGGAGAUUGGAAUUUACGGUGUAGCAGUGAAAUGCGUAGAUAUCGUAAGGAAGACCAGUGGCGAAGGCGAAUCUCUGGACAGUUACUGACACUGAGGCACGAAGGCCAGGGGAGCAAACGGG
rnacentral:rRNA from 1 species